rnacentral:rRNA from 1 species
UAAGACGAACCGUGCGAACGUUGUUCGGAAUCACUGGGCUUAAAGGGCGCGUAGGCGGACAAUCAAGUCAGGGGUGAAAUCCCACGGCUCAACCGUGGAAGUGCCUUUGAUACUGACUGUCUCGAGGGAGGUAGGGGCGUGCGGAACUUCCGGUGGAGCGGUGAAAUGCGUAGAUAUCGGAAGGAACGCCGGUGGCGAAAGCGGCGCGCUGGACCUCUUCUGACGCUGAGGCGCGAAAGCUAGGGGAGCAAACGGGAUUAGAUACCCCGGUAGUCCUAGCCCUAAACGAUGGGUACUAGGUAGUGGACUUGACAUGGGUUCACUGCCGAAGCAAAAGUGUUAAGUACCCCGCCUGGGGAGUAUGGUCGCAAGGCUG